rnacentral:lncRNA from 1 species
GGGGGGACAUUGACAAAAACCCUAAAAAAACAUAAAAAGAAAAAAGAAAGAUCAACUCUUCAGCUGAAAACCCUUGGAAGUAUUUACCCUAAGCCCAAUUGAUACUUUCACCCAAUUGCUUUUGAUGUUUCUUCUUUUUCCUUGGCACCUCUAAUUGAAAAUGUUGGUUAGGAUUUUCAUCAUUUUCAAUUGGAACAAUCUCACCCAUGUUAGCCCAAAAAAAAAAAAAAAACUCAAGGUUUCAUAUUUUAAUUUUUUCUGUCUAUUUGCUACUUGACCUCCUUGCUUUUAUCAUGACAACACAAAUUACUACAACUAACAAUUAAUCUUUGUUAUACACCCAUCGAUUUCAGACAUAAAACUUAAUUAAGAAAAAAUCCUGGACAUAAAGUUGUCUCUUUACCUUAGUUGCAAAGUGAAAAAAUAUCAAAAGCUUCAUUGACGAUUGUUCAUCCAAAGCUUCUUAAUCUUCUUUCUUCUUUCCAGUUUCGUUCAACAUGCUAAGUCCAAAGCUGGAAAUCGAAAGCUUCACUCACUAAUGUACAUAAUAUUCAUAAUCUUCUUUCUUGUUUCCCUUAGAUGAAAAUCGAAAUCUUCAUUCACUAGUGUUCAUCCAAAGCUUCAUUGACGAGUGUCCUGCUUCAGCUCAUAAACAUUUUGAAAGCUUACCUCCUUGAGAAGAACGCAGAAUCCGCCAGAUCUGGAACAAAAUCAUCGUUUUUAGUCAAAGAAUAUAGUGUUUGAGAUUUGUUGGACUUGAUCUCUAUCUUAGAUUAAUUAUCUGGUCCAUAACUAUUUCACCAACUCAUAAGAUUUGCUUUUCAAAUUCUUUUAGGUAUUUAAACAUGUCGUGCAUCUAUGUGACUUUUUGGACUUCAUCUCUCUUAGAUUGAUUUCAUA